CAUUGGAGUGGGGCUUAGAGAGAUUGCCGCGGAAGGUUGAGGGGAGGGCGAGGCGGCGCACGACAGCGCCUAUUGGCCGUGGGGGUUGGAUGCAGACAGCUAGGUCUAGGUUGGAGGGGCGGCUGCAGGAGGAUGAAGAUCCAGUGGUUGUGAAUAGUGACCGACUCGUAGAUGAGAUUUUCAGUAUCAGGUGAAAAUGAAAAUCUGAAAAUUUCUAUCGUGGACUGUUGGAUCAGGAGCGGACGUCAUGGAUCAGAGGUGGGACUCCUAACAAUCCACUUAAACGCACAUUAGCAAAUAACCCCCUCUCUCUAUUCAACUACUCCAGGAUUUAGUUACCCCGUAUGAGAAAAUUGACCGCCUCCAUAACCUAGCCGCACCAUGGCGACUCGACGACGCGGCGCUCUCUCCAGGCGAGGGCGGCUCGAUGGCCGGGUGGCUACCCCUCCCGCAUCUGCGACGGUGCGUCGACGCUUUGGGCGACGGCGACUGGUGGUCAGGGCGCUGCCUCACACACAGGUGACUCGGCGGCCGGAGCUCCGCCCGCACACGACGGUGCUCGACGCCUCGGGUGACGCUACGGCCGCGCAGCUGCCCCUCAUGCUACGGCGACUCGGUCGCCGCGAGGCUUCCCCGCACAACGGUGGCUUGAUGGCCGUCGUGAUGCCCUCAAGCGGCGGUGACAUAGACCCAAAACUUAUUAUGCAGUGGCUUGCUCCUGUUGUCUUAUUCUACAGCCCAAUGCUUGCUUCUUGGUAUUAAUUCAGAAGUUGUAUCUGAAUGUUGUAUUUUUUGGUGAAGCCUGUAAGCUUGCUUAUGUAGUCCAAAUUCUGAAGUUGCAUUGGCAUGCAAUCUGUAAUCUUUGGAUGUAUGAAUUUAGUUGAAUAAAUUUCCUGAGCUGGGCUAUUUUAAAUCA